rnacentral:rRNA from 1 species
GAUGAACGCUGGCGGCGUGCCUAACACAUGCAAGUCGAGCGCGUCUGAUUUGAUGCUUGCAUUAAUGAAAGAUGAGCGGCGGACGGGUGAGUAACGCGUGGGUAACCUGCCCUAUACACAUGGAUAACAUACUGAAAAGUUUACUAAUACAUGAUAAUAUAUAUUUACGGCAUCGUAGAUAUAUCAAAGUGUUAGCGGUAUAGGAUGGACCCGCGUCUGAUUAGCUAGUUGGUGAGAUAACUGCCCACCAAGGCGACGAUCAGUAGCCGACCUGAGAGGGUGAUCGGCCACAUUGGAACUGAGACACGGUCCAAACUCCUACGGGAGGCAGCAGUGGGGAAUAUUGCACAAUGGGCGCAAGCCUGAUGCGGCAACGCCGCGUGAACGAUGAAGGUCUUCGGAUCGUAAAGUUCUGUUGCAGGGGAAGAUAAUGACGGUACCCUGUGAGGAAGCCCCGGCUAACUAC